rnacentral:rRNA from 1 species
AUUGAACGCUGGCGGCAGGCCUAACACAUGCAAGUCGAGCGGAGCGGCGGACGGGUGAGUAAUGCAUAGGAAUCUGCCUGGUAGUGGGGGAGAACGUGCGGAAACGGGCGCUAAUACGGCAUACUAUCAGAUGAGCCUAGGUCGGAUUAGCUAGUUGGUGGGGUAAAGGCAUACCAAGGCGAAGAUCCGUAACUGGUCUGAGGGGAUGGUCAGUACGACUGGAACUGAGACACGGUCCAGCUUCCUACGGGAGGCAGCAGUGGGGAAAAUUAGACAAUGGGCGAAAGCCUGAUCCAGCCAUGCCGCGUGUGUGAAGAAGGUCUUCGGAUUGUAAAGCACUUUAAGUUGGGAGGCGUUACCAACAGAAUAAGCACCGGCUAACUUCGUGCCAGCAGCCGCGGUAAUAC